UACGUAGGGGGCAAGCGUUGUCCGGAUUUAUUGGGCGUAAAGAGCGUGUAGGCGGCUUGGUAAGUCCGCUGUGAAAGUCCAGGGCUCAACCCUGGAAAGCCGGUGGAAACUGUCAAGCUUGAGUCCGGAAGAGGCGAGUGGAAUUCCUGGUGUAGCGGUGAAAUGCGCAGAUAUCAGGAGGAACACCGGUGGCGAAGGCGGUGGUCUGGGCCGGUACUGACGCUGAGGAGCGAAAGCGUGGGGAGCGAACAGG
rnacentral:rRNA from 1 species